rnacentral:tRNA from 1 species
GUGAAUAUAGUUUAAUUAAAACAUUAGAUUGUGAUUCUAUUAAUAGAGGUUCAAAUCCUCUUGUUCACC